UGGUUUACUUAUCCAAAUUAGCAUUAAAAUGAUAAUUAAUCAUAAAUGGUCUAGUGGAGAGAGGGUAGUUUCUAGGUCUUUAGUGGAGUGGGUUCAAUACCCACAUAUGGCAUUUUUUUUUUCUUUUUAGCAUUCAUUUUUUCCAUGUUUAUGUUUUAGUAUAAUUUCUCCCGUACUCAUAGUUUCAUUAUCAUUUAAUAACACAUAUUUGUU
rnacentral:lncRNA from 1 species